rnacentral:rRNA from 1 species
UACGUAGGGUGCAAGCGUUGUCCGGAAUUAUUGGGCGUAAAGAGCUCGUAGGCGGUGUGUCGCGUCGGCCGUGAAAACCUGCAGCUUAACUGUGGGCUUGCGGUCGAUACGGGCAUCACUGGAGUGCGGCAGAGGAGACUGGAAUUCCUGGUGUAGCAGUGAAAUGCGUAGAUAUCAGGAGGAACACCGAUGGCGAAGGCAGGUCUCUGGGCUGACACUGACGCUCAUGCACGAAAGCGUGGGGAGCAAACAGG